rnacentral:rRNA from 1 species
AUUGAACGACGGCGGCAGGCUUAACACAUGCAAGUCGAGCGGGGCGAUGGUGCUUGCACUAUCACUUAGCGGCGGACGGGUGAGUAAUGCUUAGGAAUCUGCCUAUUAGUGGGGGACAACAUCUCGAAAGGGAUGCUAAUACCGCAUACGUCCUACGGGAGAAAGCAGGGGAUCACUUGUGACCUUGCGCUAAUAGAUGAGCCUAAGUCGGAUUAGCUAGUUGGUGGGGUAAAGGCCGACCAAGGCGACGAUCUGUAGCGGGUCUGAGAGGAUGAUCCGCCAGCCUGGGACUGAGACAGGGCCCAGACGCCUACGGGAGGCAGCAAGGUGGAAGAUUGGACAAUGGGUGGAACCCUGAUCCAGCCAUGCCGCGUGUGUUAAGAAUGCCUUAUGGUUGUAAAGCACUUUAAGCGAGGAGGAUGCUCGUUUGGUUAAUACCCAAGAUGAGUGGACGUUACUCUCAGAAUAAGCACCGUCUAACUCUGUGCCAGCCGCCGCCGUAA